AUUGAACGCUGGCGGCAGGCCUAACACAUGCAAGUCGAGCGGAUGAGAGGAGCUUGCUCCUCGAUUCAGCGGCGGACGGGUGAGUAAUGCCUAGGAAUCUGCCUAGUAGUGGGGGACAACGUUUCGAAAGGAACGCUAAUACCGCAUACGUCCUACGGGAGAAAGUGGGGGAUCUUCGGACCUCACGCUAUUAGAUGAGCGUAGGUCGGAUUAGCUAGUUGGUAGGGUAACGGACUACCAAGGCGACGAUCCGUAACUGGUCUGAGAGGAUGAUCAGUCACACUGGAACUGAGACACAGUCCAGACUCCUACGGGAGGCAGCAGUGGGGAAUAUUGGACAAUGGGCGAAAGCCUGAUCCAGCCAUGCCGCGUGUGUGAAGAAGGCCCUCGGGUCGUAAAGCACUUUAAGUUGGGAGGAAGGGCUUACAGCGAAUACCUGUGAGUUUUGACGUUACCGACAGAAUAAGCACCGGCUAACUUCGUGCCAGCCGCCGCGGUAA
rnacentral:rRNA from 1 species